AGAUCCAAGAUAUAGGACCAAUUCCCCAAGACUCGUGCAAUUCCACUUUCACUGGUCACUUUUAGUCUCAAAAUGAAGAGUAUUAUUGAUCAAACAAGCAUUUUUUAAAACACUUUUCUUUAAACCUCACAAGGACGAGUGGUCUAGCAAUCUCAGCGCCCCACGCACAGAAUGAACUGACAUACCUAAAGCCUUUCUGCACCCCUACUCCCCAUGACCUUCAGCUAUUUACAUCUGAUAUCCGACCCACUGCUCUCGGAAAAGGCAAACCUCCCUGAUUCAAUGAUAAUAGACCACACAGCGCAUACGCAUUCUCGCUGAUGGUUUGUGAUGGUGCCUGGUCCUUUUAGAGACAACCGUCAGUCCACAACCGGCGUUUCAGCACCGCAGCCGAUGACAGGAAUCUAAAUCUCCUGCUAUGAAAGAGUACUCUCAGAAGGAGGAUUCUUGUUGCAGGCCUGAGAGGUCACAGCCUCCCACUGCCUCCCCCUCUGGCAUACUUACACUGGGUGAAAUGGGGACACUGGCAUCCUGGACUGUCUGUUUGCGUGUUCCUGCGGCUCUUAGUGUCUGUUGAGGUCUGCGUGUAAUCACUUUUUCCUGCUGCCACAGUUUCCUUUAUUUUAUUGGUGCUCAGAGGUAUGUUUCCAUUCAUAAAAUCUUUAUACACUUCCAGCUUCGACAUGGAGAACAUCAUGUCUUGUGCAAUUAUGCCAUCUAGUGGGCACAUGUAGCUACUGCAAGAGCGCUCACAUAUCACAGUAGGUUGGCAAACACUGCCCCCAUGUGGUUUCUUGUUUUAACUACAUCUGAUUCACUUGGACAUCAAGUCUCUCUGGGGUUUAGCAGGUAAUUCUUCUUAUUAAAAUCUGUUAAACCUCAUUAAUUCUGUCUCACAUCAUUAAGACCUGAAUUAAACUCGGCUUAUUUGCGAGGGUAGGUACCUUCUGUCAUUAGCGUGCGCGCAUAUGAUAGUGAGAGGUGAUUCCUCUCUCUUGUCUUCUCUAUAUUACCUUUCAGUCACUCUAAUGAAGGCUCCUCCUACAGAUCCAUUAUGAAGGCUUUUCUGGCACAACACAUCAUUAGAGGAGAAGGAAGAAGACAAAGGGGCCCGAGGUUUGAUAGAGUAUUUGAUAAAUUCAGAUCAAAUGUAAUGAGAACACUACUGGGAGGAGAUUCAGGUUUAUGAAGGUUAGCUGGUGAAGAACAGGGCCAAACAUCUGCGCAGGUUCUCCUUUGUCCAGGUGGUGGUUAUCCAAGGGUAGGGUUGUAAAGGGGCGCAAAAUUUCUGGUUAAGCCUGGUAAUUUUGGAAAUAUUCCAAAUUGGAAACUUUACAUGGGAAUUAUGGGAAUUUAUGGGAAUUAACUGGAAAUUGGGGGUAAAUUAAACAAACUGUAUCAUAUCCAAACAUAAAUGUCAAUAUUUUUUCUUCAUUAGCUUGUGUGAAAUGUUUCCACACAUCAGAUGGCGAUCGUGGUAUUUUUCUGUAGAAUAAAAUAACAAAAAAGCUCGUAAAAACGGAUGCAAUGGCAUAAACAGACAUAUAGUCAGCUAAACAACUGGAAUGGUCUUCAGAAUAUUUGACAAUUGAUGUAUAAGUUGGCUACAGAAAACUGUCUCGCAGGAGUCAGAAGAAACAGCAUCACAUUUGAAGUAGAUACUAGGGCCUGACUGAAAUAGAUUUUUUGGAGUUGAUGCCGAUACCUAUUAUUGGGGGGGGGGGGGAUCUGAUUACCGAUAAUCUGCCGAUUAUUUACAUUUUUUUAUUAAGUUAUAAAAUAUAUAUAUACAUACUGUAGAUAUCUAUAGUAUACUAUAUACUGUAAAUAUACUGUAGGCUACUGCUCUUCACGCCCACAGGAAGACCGACUGAUCAAACUCAGACCAGAAAAUCGUUUUCAACUAACCCCCGACUCUCCUCUGUGCGUCCCUGAACUGCCUGCUUCAGAUCCGUAACUCUGCUGUGCUGUGAGGUAGUUAGUGGAUGAAGAUUUUUAUGAGGUCGCUGCGCCAUCUACAGGAUAAGUCGGGGGAUCUUUUCAAACGGUGGAACUUUUUCAAAGUGAAACCGAAUCUUAUUCUCCGGAUUAGUCUGAAAUGGGCAAAAAUUGGCAGAUUUAAUCGGCUCGCCGAUAAAUCGGUCGGGCCCUAGUAGAUACCACCACCAUAAUAAGCUAACCCCUUAAAUAGUCAAUAGCUUACAUUUAGCAACUAUUUUUAUUUAAUUUUUGCAAGUUAAAUAUUAAUACUAUAAGAGAUCAAAUAUAUUUACCUCAUAAUAUUAUCAAAACUUACUUGACUUUAUAUAGUCCGUGGGCUCAAAUGUUUUGUGCUUUGGGCUCUAAAGUCUGGCCUCCAGGAUUCAAGAAAUCACCUGUGCAUGUGAUGGUGGAGUGAACUUGCAUUAAAUCUGGUUGUUUUAGCCAAGAUUAUGCUAUAAUAUAAUUUCCCCAACUAUAUUUAAGUUCUGUUGAGGGCCAACCUUUAAUUUUGUAAAUUUCAGAUUAAUUCCCAUUAAUUUCCAAGGAAAGUUUCCAACUUUGAAAAUUCCCGGAAUCUUGCAACCCUAUCCAAGGGGCUACUGUACUUGGCUGAACUUCUUGACCAGGAUGCACCUCUCCUUUAUAAAAGGCUUCUUCAGUUUUUAAAGAUGGUCAGAGUCAGCAAGAAGUCCUUGGCAAAGUUGUUGACGGCUCUGCCAAAAACUAAUCAGAACUCGUACCAAGUACACCAAGUUUUUCUGAUAUCCAAGUGGAUGGACCAAACUUGGUGUACUUCCAAUCAAGUUUAAACUCUUAUUUUUUUGGCAAAGGGGGGUUUUUGGUUUUAUUUAACAAGAUAGUUGGAGAGAGAUGGAAAUAUGUGGUAGACCAGGCGAAGAGGACUACAGACUCUGCACCAAACUGGCAUUUUAAUGAUUGAAUUCACCCUCUCAUCUUGCAGCCACAUGCGUUCAAACACAGUGUCUACACAUAUGUGUCGGGACAAAGCAGACAGACACUAGACAUAUUCAUCACGUCAUUCAGAGGAAACACCAGUCUGCAGACGAUGCCACAUUAACUUCAGUGAUGAUGACGGAUAAACUUCACCUCACAGCUUUACGAUUGAUCCACCUGGUUUUACGCAGUUUCUACAAACGUCACCUAAACCUCAGAAACCUCCUCUCUGCUGCACAAAUCUUCACUGCUCACUUCAAUUCAUGCAAAAGACUGACUUUAAAAAACGGGACGACUACAUUUCUGUCAAAUACUGACUGAUACGCAUUAUUACCUUUGCACUUAAUGGGUGUCUGGGGGUUACAUGCAUCAUUGCUUUUCAUCAUGAGGUCAAACUCGAGCUCUUAAAACAAUUACUUUUCCCAUUAAUGUCUUUAAAACUCCCCCUGUCUUGUCCGAUCCCGUCCAAUGUCACUAUCACCUCCUGCACCCCCUUUUUUUUGUCCUCCCACUUCGGGCCCACGGGGAGAUAAUAUUUUCUAAUUUCUGGAACACAAUGAGGGGGAUGCAAACAGACGGUCCACCUUAAUCUAUCACAGCUCCUUCUAGGGUGCAGGGGUGCGCCGUGACAGGCACAAAAUCGCAGAGCCGGUGGGGAGGAGGGCAACAGAAGCAAUUAAGGCUCAUGAAAUGCAAAUGGCGCCUUGUGCAAGAGGAGGGUAUGGGAUACGGGGGCGGGGGGGAGCUUGGUUUCCCCUAGUCUUGCUGCUGCCAUCUGCUUGCCAUCACCAGCAGUGGAGGAACCUCUGGGUCUUGGUAAUUUGUAGCUUUAAUAAUUUUCUCCUUCAGCUGGAGAAGAAAGAGAUGAAGCUGAAAGAGGCCGAGGACGUGCAGCUGGCCGAGAUUAGAUUUAGAUUAGCCGCUCGGAUCACAUGGAGAGCUGACCUCUUACAUUUUAGCACGGGCAUAAACACACUGGCAUGUUCACACGAAAGCAUGCAUCACAUGUGCAGCUUGCAGACUUCCUUCCAUCUCCGUACAAUACUCCUCUAUGCCCCAUCAAAGUUGACCCUGAUCCAAGGUGGACGUCUGGCCCAGUGGGUCCAUAAAUCCCCGAGGACGUCUAGAGGUUAUUUAGGAACAUGAUCCCUGGACGCUGAGGGCCGGGUUGUAACCUCAGGAACAGAUCCCGGACCUCACUUUCCCUGGAGUACUGUUUAAAGGGGUCAAAGUGGACACAGUGUGUUUUUUCGACCAUUUUCCCCAAAGAAUCGGACGUACAUUUAUCAUGCGGGAAAACAGGACCGUAUUGAGUCAACAGACCAGAACUCCUUCAAACACCCACCGUUCAAGCCCAUUCCCAGGGUCAAGACCAGGCCAAGGUCAGCAACAAUCGUAUCUGACCCCUGACCCUGCCGACGUCCAUCAUGGUAAAGGAAUAAAGCAAAGAUUGGCAGCCGAUGUAGUCAAGAAGUAAAUCAACUUCAGCUUAAGCCAUACAUCAAAAUUACUUCCACGGACACGCAUCGCCACUGAGAGGCUAAUCAUUUUAACGGGAAUAAAGCGAGUUUGGAUGGACGGCAGCUGCUUUGUUGUGGAGCAAGAGCGAAGACUUGUGUUAAAAUGUGCCUUUAAAUAAAGUUAGAGCCUUCAGGAAUAAGGCUUGAUUAAUGAUACUUAAGUUAAAGCUCCUAUAAGGAUGUUUUAGCCAGUAACACCAGAUUGGAGUUAACUAUUCAAACAAGAUUAUCUGCAAGGAGACUGAUGAAAAGUAAUUGUUCAUUUUUAGUGCACGUUUAUGCAGCUGUGGGGUAAAUACUAGACAAGAUGACGCUACGUUGCAUAAAACAAUUUUUUUUAGAGUUAUGCUUAGAGAAUGCUUACUCAGCAAAAGGGAUGAAGAAUAAUAGGCACCGGGGGCACCGAAAUCUACAACACGAGCUUUAAAGGGAUAUUCCGGCGUAAAACUAAUUUAGGGUCAAACACACUGUAACACCCCCUUGAGAGAUGAAUGUUGCAGACCUCUUGCUUCUCUAGUUAUACCAACUUUAGUAACAACCGCAGGAUAGCAAUACACAGCAGUCUGAGGAGCCAUAAACAAACUUCAACUAAAAAGCCACUCUAUAGCCACAAAUAAUGCUCAGAACAGCACCUAACUUCAUCAAUAGUACAUAUAGGGUCCCAGCCAUCGCACUAGCCACCAAACAUCUUUUUAACUUUGCCUAAUUUCUUUAGUAAAGAGACUAAACACAACUCACCUACUCUCCUCCAGCAGCUACAUGUUUGUAUGGAGACCUCAGGCCAGUUCAUUACGGACUACAGUGGGGUGACGCAGCUCAAGGAAGAACAUUUAUGAUCAUUACUUUAUCACUUCCUUUAAGUCAUGAUCAUCAUAUUAAUCAUUUUGCACUGCAGACACGGUAGUUCUUCUGUCUUAGAGUCUCGGUCUCAAGAAAUGAUCAUAAAUGUUCUUCCUUGAGCUGCGGCAACCAGCUGUAGUCCGUAAUGGACUGGCUUGAGGUCUCCAUACAAACAAGCGGCUGCUGGAAGAGAGAGGGUGAGUAGUGAUUGCUAAAGAAAUAAGAUGUUUGAUGGUUUGUACUGUGGCUGGGACCCUAUAUGUCCUGUUGAUGAAGUUAGGUGCUGUUCUGAGCAUUAUUUGUGGCUAUAGAGUGGCGUUUUGGUUGAGUGCGUAGCUCUCUGUAUUGCUAUCGUGCGGUCGUUACUAAAGUUGCUAUAACUAGAGAAGCAAGCAAUCGGCAACAUUCAUCUCUUGAGGGGGUGUCUAACUCUAAUUCGCCGGAAUAUCCCUUUAAGUUUUGUUUUGCAGUAAAGUUUCCUAAGUACUGAUCAUAAGACUGUGAAUUAGGACCACUUCUGUAAACUGAGUAGAAAACUCCUGUUAAUUAAGUCAAGAUUUGGUCCAUGGAUCAUGCUAACGCUAGGUGUGCACAGCUCAAUUUCAAGUGUUCCCAAACAAGGCCAACUUUACUUUCCCUUCCUGCCUCAUGAAACCCAAAAUGCUGAUAGAAAUACGCCGUUCAUUGAGAAGUUGAGCCACACACAUAUUUUAGUCAGGCAAUGCCUCAAAAGUUCAAUGACCUUUAAGUUGAAAAGCCUCUGACAGCCAAUCCACCCAAUCUGGACCAAAUGUGUUGCAGCGUAAAUGACCGUGAGUCAUGCCUGACAGGCAUGAUGGACGCAUGCCACACGAGUAAAGUCAAAGCAUGUGCCUCUACUGGAUUUCAUUUCAAUGCAACCUGCUCUGACAGGGUCGCGAUAGGAAUCUCUCAGCUCUAUAUGGAGCAGGCAAUGUGUCAUUGUAAUUAUAGCAUUUAACACUCACACCAUGCACACAAAGGCACAGACUGCAAGACAAAAAGAGCCGGCGGAGUUUCAGGGCUGGCAUUGAGCAGAGAGAACAAGGCUGCUUUUACUCUCUGCAGACAGACAGACAGAAAGCACUCAUGAGGUCCAGUAAAGCGGAGUACUGGUCAGACAGACUGCAGUAAAAGUUCUCUGAAUGGUGUCGAUGAAGCCUCAUAAAUUCCCC